rnacentral:rRNA from 1 species
AUUGAACGCUGGCGGCAGGCCUAACACAUGCAAGUCGAGCGGUAGCACAGAGAGCUUGCUCUCGGGUGACGAGCGGCGGACGGGUGAGUAAUGUCUGGGAAACUGCCUGAUGGAGGGGGAUAACUACUGGAAACGGUAGCUAAUACCGCAUAAUGUCGCAAGACCAAAGUGGGGGACCUUCGGGCCUCAUGCCAUCAGAUGUGCCCAGAUGGGAUUAGCUAGUAGGUGGGGUAACGGCUCACCUAGGCGACGAUCCCUAGCUGGUCUGAGAGGAUGACCAGCCACACUGGAACUGAGACACGGUCCAGACUCCUACGGGAGGCAGCAGUGGGGAAUAUUGCACAAUGGGCGCAAGCCUGAUGCAGCCAUGCCGCGUGUGUGAAGAAGGCCUUCGGGUUGUAAAGCACUUUCAGCGGGGAGGAAGGCGUUAAGGUUAAUAACCUUGUCGAUUGACGUUACCCGCAGAAGAAGCACCGGCUAACUCCGUGCCAGCCGCCGCAGUAAAAC